rnacentral:rRNA from 1 species
UACGAAGGGGGCUAGCGUUGCUCGGAAUCACUGGGCGUAAAGCGCACGUAGGCGGCUUUCUAAGUCAGGGGUGAAAUCCUGGAGCUCAACUCCAGAACUGCCUUCGAUACUGGAAAGCUCGAGUCCGGGAGAGGUGAGUGGAACUGCGAGUGUAGAGGUGAAAUUCGUAGAUAUUCGCAAGAACACCAGUGGCGAAGGCGGCUCACUGGCCCGGUACUGACGCUGAGGUGCGAAAGCGUGGGGAGCAAACAGG